rnacentral:rRNA from 1 species
CCUACGGGGGUCAGCAGUGGGGGAUAUUGCACAAUGGGGGAAACCCUGAUGCAGCGACGCCGCGUGUGGGAAGACGGUCCUCUGGAUUGUAAACCACUGUCCCCAGGGACGAAGAUGACGGUACCUGGGGAGGAAGCUCCGGCUAACUACGUGCCAGCAGCCGCGGGAAUAUGCAGGGAGCGAGCGUUGUCCGGAAUUACUGGGAGUAAAGGGAGCGUAGGCGGGACUGCAAGUUGGGUGUCAAAUCUACCGGCUCAACCGGUAGCCGCACUCAAAACUGCAGUUCUUGAGUGAAGUAGAGGCAAGCGGAAUUCCUAGUGUAGCGGUGAAAUGCGUAGAUAUUAGGAGGAACACCAGUGGCGAAGGCGGCCUGCUGGGCUUUUACUGACGCUGAGGCUCGAAAGUGUGGGGAGCAAACAGGAUUAGAUACCCGAGUAGUC